rnacentral:rRNA from 1 species
CGUGGGCAAUCUGCCCUGCACUCUGGGACAAGCCCUGGAAACGGGGUCUAAUACCGGAUACUGACCCUCACGGGCAUCUGUGAGGUUCGAAAGCUCCGGCGGUGCAGGAUGAGCCCGCGGCCUAUCAGCUUGUUGGUGAGGUAAUGGCUCACCAAGGCGACGACGGGUAGCCGGCCUGAGAGGGCGACCGGCCACACUGGGACUGAGACACGGCCCAGACUCCUACGGGAGGCAGCAGUGGGGAAUAUUGCACAAUGGGCGAAAGCCUGAUGCAGCGACGCCGCGUGAGGGAUGACGGCCUUCGGGUUGUAAACCUCUUUCAGCAGGGAAGAAGCGAAAGUGACGGUACCUGCAGAAGAAGCGCCGGCUAACUACGUGCCAGCAGCCGCGGUAAUACGUAGGGCGCGAGCGUUGUCCGGAAUUAUUGGGCGUAAAGAGCUCGUAGGCGGCUUGUCACGUCGGUUGUGAAAGCCCGGGGCUUAACCCCGGGUCUGCAGUCGAUACGGGCA